AGAGUUUGAUCCUGGCUCAGAAUGAACGCUAGCUAUAGGCUUAACACAUGCAAGUCGAGGGGCAGCAGGACGAUAGCUUGCUAUUGUCGCUGGCGACCGGCGCACGGGUGAGUAACGCGUAUCCAACCUUCCCCAUAGUAGAGGAUAGCCCGGCGAAAGUCGGAUUAAUACUCUAUGUUGUGUCAUGAGGACAUCUGAAUAACACUAAAGAUUUAUCGCUAUGGGAUGGGGAUGCGUCUGAUUAGGUAGUCGGCGGGGUAACGGCCCACCGAGCCGACGAUCAGUAGGGGUUCUGAGAGGAAGGUCCCCCACAUUGGUACUGAGACACGGACCAAACUCCUACGGGAGGCAGCAGUGAGGAAUAUUGGUCAAUGGACGAGAGUCUGAACUAUUUUUUGUAGCCCGCCCGAUGACUGCCCUAUGGGUUGUAAACUGCGGGGGGUGCGGGAAUAAAGUCAGGUACGUGUACCUGUUUGUAUGUACCGCAUGAAUAAGGACCGGCUAAUUCCGUGCCAGCAGCCGCGGUAAUACGGAAGGUCCGGGCGUUAUCCGGAUUUAUUGGGUUUAAAGGGAGCGCAGGCGGAAGGUUAAGCGUGACGUGAAAUGUACCGGCUCAACCGGUGAUGUGCGUCGCGAACUGGCUUUCUUGAGUGAGUACGACGCUGGCGGAAUUCGUGGUGUAGCGGUGAAAUGCUUAGAUAUCACGAAGAACUCCGAUUGCGAAGGCAGCCGGCGAGUCCUCAACUGACGCUAAUGCUCGAAAGUGCGGGUAUCGAACAGGAUUAGAUACCCUGGUAGUCCGCACGGUAAACGAUGGAUGCCCGCUGUUGGCGAUAUAUUGUCAGCGGCCAAGCGAAAGCGUUAAGCAUCCCACCUGGGGAGUACGCCGGCAACGGUGAAACUCAAAGGAAUUGACGGGGGCCCGCACAAGCGGAGGAACAUGUGGUUUAAUUCGAUGAUACGCGAGGAACCUUACCCGGGCUUGAACUGCAGCAGAACGAUAGAGAGAUCUUGAGGCCCUUCGGGGCUGCUGUGGAGGUGCUGCAUGGUUGUCGUCAGCUCGUGCCGUGAGGUGUCGGCUUAAGUGCCAUAACGAGCGCAACCCCUUCCGUCAGUUGCCAUCACUUUGGGUGGGCACUCUGGCGGUACUGCCACCGUAAGGUGUGAGGAAGGUGGGGAUGACGUCAAAUCAGCACGGCCCUUACGUCCGGGGCUACACACGUGUUACAAUGGGUGGUACAGAGAGUCGGUCGUAUGCAAAUGCGAUCUAAUCAAUAAAGCCAUCCUCAGUUCGGAUUGGGGUCUGCAACCCGACCCCAUGAAGCUGGAUUCGCUAGUAAUCGCGCAUCAGCCAUGGCGCGGUGAAUACGUUCCCGGGCCUUGUACACACCGCCCGUCAAGCCAUGAAAGCCUGGGGCGCCUGAAGUCCGUGACCGCGAGGGUCGGCCUAGGGUGAAACAGGUGAUUGUAAAUAAGUCGUAACAAGGUAACC
rnacentral:rRNA from 1 species